GGUGUGAAGAGUGAAAACAGCCUCAGCACCACUGGCUCCUUCCUUGUAGAAAAUUCUAGCAUUGACUUCCAGAAGUUUCCUGACAAGGAGAUCUUAAGAAUAUCUGGGCCUCUCACUGCAGACUUUACUAUCAAGAUCCAUUAUGCUGGUGCUGCUGACAGUUCCGUCCAGUUCAUCUUCUACCAACCUAUCAUUCACAGAUGGAGAGAAACUGAUUUUUUCCCUUGUUCAGCAUCCUGUGGUGGAGGUUAUCAACUGACAUCUGCUGAGUGCUUUGAUCUGAGAAGCAAUCGGGUAGUAGCAGAUCAAUACUGUCACUAUUAUCCUGAAAAUAUCAAGCCAAAGCCAAAACUUCAAGAGUGUAAUCUUGAUCCUUGUCUGGCAAGGUUAGUUGGCUUUUUUUUUAAAGGAGACUGAGCUCUAAAGGAGUA